rnacentral:rRNA from 1 species
GACGAACGCUGGCGGCGUGCUUAACACAUGCAAGUCGAACGGCAAGGCCCUGCUUUUGUGGGGUGCUCGAGUGGCGAACGGGUGAGUAACACGUGAGUAACCUGCCCUUGACUUUGGUAUAACUUCAGGAAACUGGGGCUAAUACCGUAUAGGAGCUCCUGCUGCAUGGUGGGGGUUGGAAAGUUUCGGCGGUUGGGGAUGGACUCGCGGCUUAUCAGCUUGUUGGUGGGGUAGUGGCUUACCAAGGCUUUGACGGGUAGCCGGCCUGAGAGGGUGACCGGCGACAUUGGGACUGAGAGACGGACCAGACUGCUACGGGAGACAGCAGUGGGGAAUAUUGCACAAUGAGCGGGAGCCUGAUGAAGAAACGCCGCGUGCGGGAUGACGGUCUUCGGGUUGUAAACCGCUUUCGCCUGUGGCGAAGCGGGAGUGACGGUAAUGGGUAAAGAAGCACCGGCUAACUACGUG